rnacentral:rRNA from 1 species
AUUCCAGCUCCAAUAGCGUAUAUUAAAGUUGUUGCGGUUAAAAAGCUCGUAGUUGGAUCUCGGCGGGCAGGGGGUGGUUCGCUCUUCAGCGCUACUGCCCCGCUUUGCCCGUGUGAUUGGCGGAGGUUUCGGGGUGCUCUUCGUUGAGUGACUCGGAGCGCCGUCAGGUUUACUUUGAAAAAAUUAGAGUGCUCAAAGCAGGCUUUUCACGCUUGAAUAUUCGUGCAUGGAAUAAUGAGAUAGGACUUUGGUACUAUUUUGUUGGUUUGCGCACCAAGGUAAUGAUUAAUAGGGAUAGUUGGGGGUAUUCAUAUUCAAUUGUCAGAGGUGAAAUUCUUGGAUUUAUGGAAGAUGAACUUAUGCGAAAGCAUUUACCAAGGAUGUUUUCAUUA